GGUUGCUUUCCUCCAGUUAAAUGGGAAGUGGUUUGAUCUGUUUUUCACAUCAUCGUCAGACAUCCUCUACUGUCUCUCCUCUUAUCUCCCCUACUGUCUCUUCUCUUAUCUCCCCUACUGUCUCUCCUCUUAUCUCCCCUACUGUCUCUCCUCUUAUCUCCCCUACUGUCUCUCCUCUUAUCUCCCCUACUGUCUCUCCUCUUAUCUCCCCUACUGUCUCUCCUCUUAUCUCCCCUACUGUCUCUCCUCUUAUUUCCCCUACUGUCUCUCCUCUUAUUUCCCCUACUGUCUCUUCUCUUAUCUCCCCUACUGUCUCUCCUCUUAUUUCCUCUACUGUCUCUUCUCUUAUCUCCCCUACUGUCUCUUCUCUUAUCUCCCCUACUGUCUCUCCUCUUAUUUCCCCUACUGUCUCUUCUCUUAUCUCCCCUACUGUCUCUCCUCUUAUCUCCCCUACUGUCUCUCCUCUUAUUUCCCCUACUGUCUCUUCUCUUAUCUCCCCUACUGUCUCUCCUCUUAUCUCCCCUACUGUCUAUUCUCACUGCUGUCUGCCUGGUCUUAGUGUCUCUGUGGUGGUGCAGAGCAUCAAAAUGACUUCAGGGGAAUACACACAUUCCAGUCUGAACACUAUCAGAGUGAAAGAGUAUCAGGCCACAGGGACAUGAAGUUACAAACAUCCGCUAAUAACGAGCCAGGCUGUACAGCAGGAUGUCUAUAGAGGCUGAGGCGUUGCUGCAGGAGGCUAAGGAGAGUAUAGAAGCAGCUCAGAAUUACAGGAGCGAACUACAACAACGCCUACAUGGACUCAGCCAAGCACGCAAACAGCAGCUCUUCGCAAUGCUUGAUCCACAGCGCUGUUUAUGACUUCAAGCCUAUCAACUCCCGAGAUUAGGCUGGCAAUACUAAAGUGCCUAUAAGAACAUCCAAUAGUCAAAGGUACGAGGCAGCUCGUCUCAGGCCAGGGAGGGGUUGAAGCGUCAUUUCUCAGAGCUCCAGACGGCUGUGACCCGCCUCCUGACGGAGCGUCUGAGCGUGCUCCUUAGCGAGGUGGACGUCAUCGAGCAGGACAGCGUACGGCCGCUGGACGACUGCCAGAAACUCAUAGAACACGGAGUCAACACCGCAGACGAGCUGCUCCGAGAGGGUGAGGUAGCUAUCCGCUGUGGUCUGGGGGAGAAGGAGGACAAGCUGGGGAGUUUCACCAAGAAGGCCCUUCAGAUCCAGCUGGACAGCCUCCCGGAGGUACCAGUGUUAGUAGACGUGCCGUGUGUGUCUGCCCAGCUGGAUGACUCUCUGCUGUACGCGCUGAGAGACAGAGUGUCACGACACGGAUCAGUCUCUUCACACCCUCCAGUCCAGAUAGAGGAACUCCAGGAGAGACCUGGCAGUGUGUUAGUACGCUGGUGUAAGGUGGAUGAUGAGUUUGCGGUGCAGGACUACCGCCUGCAGUAUCGUCGCUCAGUGUCUGGUCAGUACCUAGGUCAAACAUGAUUUAAUAUCCCAGAACUUAUUCAUUUCU
rnacentral:lncRNA from 1 species